GGGCCCGUAGGCUAGUCAGGAUAGACUGUGGGUCUUCGGAAUCCACGACCCGGGUUCGAAUCCCGGCGGGCCCA
rfam:Aciduliprofundum boonei T469, complete genome.